UACGUAGGGUGCGAGCGUUGUCCGGAAUUACUGGGCGUAAAGAGCUCGUAGGUGGUUUGUCGCGUUGUUCGUGAAAACUCACAGCUUAACUGUGGGCGUGCGGGCGAUACGGGCAGACUGGAGUACUGUAGGGGAGACUGGAAUUCCUGGUGUAGCGGUGGAAUGCGCAGAUAUCAGGAGGAACACCGGUGGCGAAGGCGGGUCUCUGGGCCACUACUGACGCUGAGAAGCGAAAGCAUGGGGAGCGAACAGG
rnacentral:rRNA from 1 species